AGUGUGUUCUGUCUGUCCCAGCUGGUUAGUUAGUUAGUGUGUUCCGUCUGUCCCAGCUGGUUAGUUUGUUAGUGUGUUCUGUCUGUCCCAGCUGGUUAGUUAACCUGGGGAAACAGACAGAACACACUAACUAACUAACUAACCAACCUGGGGAGACAGUUACUGUGUUUUGUCUGUCUCCCCAGGUUAGUUAGUGUGUUCUGUCUGUCUCUACAGGUUGGUUAGUUAGUGUGUUCUGUCUGUCUCCCCAGGUUAGUUAGUGUGUUCUGUCUGUCUCUACAGGUUGGUUAGUUAGUUAGUGUGUUCUGUCUGUCUCUACAGGUUGGUUAGUUAGUUAGUGUGUUCUGUCUGUCUCUACAGGUUGGUUAGUUAGUUAGUGUGUUCUGUCUGUCUCUACAGGUUAGUUAGUUAGUGUGUUCUGUCUGUCUCCCCAAGUUAGUUAGUUAGUGUGUUCUGUCUGUCUCCCCAGGUUAGUUAGUUAGUGUGUUCUGUCUGUCUCCCCAAGUUAGUUAGUUAGUGUGUUCUGUCUGUCUCCCCAAGUUAGUUAGUUAGUGUGUUCUGUCUGUCUCCCCAAGUUAGUUAGUUAGUGUGUUCUGUCUGUCUCCCCAAGUUAGUUAGUUAGUGUGUUCUGUCUGACUCCCCAAGUUAGUUAGUUAGUGUGUUCUGUCUGUCUCCCCAGGUUAGUUAGUUAGUGUGUUCUGUCUGUCUCCCCAGGUUAGUUAGUUAGUGUGUUCUGUCUGUCUCCCCAGGUUAGUUAGUUAGUUAGUGUGUUCUGUCUGUCUCCCCAGGUUAGUUAGUUAGUGUGUUCUGUCUGUCUCCCCAGGUUAGUUAGUUAGUGUGUUCUGACUCCCCAGGUUAGUUAGUUAGUGUGUUCUGUCUCCCCAGGUUAGUUAGUUAGUUAGUGUGUUCUGUCUCCCCAGGUUAGUUAGUUAGUGUGUUCUGUCUCCUCAGGAAACUCCUGGAGAAGGAGUUGGAGUCUCCCCAGGUUAGUUAGUUAGUGUGUUCUGUCUCCCCAGGUUAGUUAGUUAGUGUGUUCUGUCUCCCCAGGUUAGUUAGUUAGUUAGUGUGUUCUGUCUCCUCAGGUUAGUUAGUUAGUUAGUGUGUUCUGUCUCCCCAGGUUAGUUAGUUAGUGUGUUCUGUCUCCCCAGGUUAGUUAGUUAGUUAGUGUGUUCUGUCUCCUCAGGUUAGUUAGUUAGUGUGUUCUGUCUCCCCAGGUUAGUUAGUUAGUGUGUUCUGUCUCCUCAGGUUAGUUAGUUAGUUAGUGUGUUCUGUCUCCCCAGGUUAGUUAGUUAGUUAGUGUGUUCUGUCUCCCCAGGUUAGUUAGUUAGUUAGUGUGUUCUGUCUCCCCAGGUUAGUUAGUUAGUUAGUGUGUUCUGUCUCCCCAGGUUAGUUAGUUAGUUAGUGUGUUCUGUCUCCCCAGGUUAGUUAGUUAGUUAGUGUGUUCUGUCUCCCCAGGUUAGUUAGUUAGUUAGUGUGUUCUGUCUCCCCAGGUUAGUUAGUUAGUUAGUGUGUUCU